rnacentral:lncRNA from 1 species
AAUGGCGACUUCGAGGAAGGCCCCUACGUCUUCCCCAACGCUCCGUGGGGCGUCCUCCUGCCGCCCAUCGUCGAGGACGAUCAAAGCCCCCUCCCGGGCUGGAUCGUGGAGUCCCUCAAGGCCGUAAAAUACGUCGACGCCGCCCACUUCUCCGUGCCGCAGGGCCAGCGCGCCGUCGAGCUCGUGGCCGGCCGCGAGAGCGUGAUCGUCCAGGUCGUCCGCACCAUCCCCGGCAAGGAGUACGCCCUCACCUUCUCCGUCGGCGACGCCAACAACACCUGCCAGGGCUCCAUGGUGGUGGAAGCCUUCGCCGACCGGUUCGCU